AGCCCUCUUUAUGGGUGAUGGCGUGCCUUUUGUAGAAUGAACCGGCGAGUUACGUUUAACAUGCAAGGUUAAGGUGAGAAGCCGGAGCCGCAGCGAAAGCGAGUCUGAAUAGGGCGACUAAGUAUGUGGACGUAGACCCGAAACCGUGUGAUCUACCCCUGUCCAGGGUGAAGGUGCGGUAACACGCACUGGAGGCCCGAACCCACGCAUGUUGAAAAAUGCGGGGAUGAGGUGGGGGUAGCGGAGAAAUUCCAAUCGAACUCGGAGAUAGCUGGUUCUCCCCGAAAUAGCUUUAGGGCUAGCCUCGGUGAAUGGAGUGGUGGAGGUAGAGCACUGAUUGGGUGCGGGGCCCGCAAGGGUUACCAAGCUCAGUCAAACUCCGAAUGCCAUUUACUUCUUGCCGGGAGUCAGACAGUGAGUGCUAAGAUCCAUUGUCAAAAGGGAAACAGCCCAGACCAUCAGCUAAGGUCCCCAAGUGUGUGUUAAGUGGGAAAGGAUGUGGAGUUGCACAGACAACCAGGAUGUUGGCUUAGAAGCAGCCACCAUUGAAAGAGUGCGUAAUAGCUCACUGGUCGAGUGACUCUGCGCCGAAAAUGUAACGGGGCUAAACACACCACCGAAGCUAUGGCUAGGAUCGACUUCA
rnacentral:rRNA from 1 species